rnacentral:lncRNA from 1 species
GUUCAAGCCAGGCCAAUCAGAGCCCUUCUCUGGGGUUAUGCCUGGAUGUUGGGUGGGGGAAAGGCUCUGUUUCCUCUGGGCCGCUGAAAACCUGGUGCUGCCUUUGGCCGUGGCCUCUCCCUCUGUCUGGCCAUUUGGAAGAAAGGAUGAGCGUGGGCUUCUGACCUUGUGUGAUGGGCACAGACCAGGGUCUCCUACUCAGGUCUGGCUCCUGGAGCUUUCCAGCUGGAAGGGGUGUUACAAGUCAGGAGCAUCGGCCUCAGAGGUGUGGCUUGCUUGCGGCUUUGACAUUUCUGGAGUCCCUCGCCUUAGGAUAUAGCAGCCCAGCUCCUGAGCACAGAUUUCAGAAGU